AUUGUCAAAUAUAAAACUUUAACAGUUUUAAAUAUUAAAACUGUUAACAUUUUAAAAUGUUAAAAGCCCUUUUGAUGGCCUAUUUUAAAAUCUCUGUAGACUAUAGGUUUCACAAAACUCAGAACCCUUGUUUUCUUUGGUAUCAGCCUCUUCACUUCAUUUACUUUAUAGUUGCUCAUAUAUUUACUGUUGUUGCCAGUGCAAAAUAGAGUACAUGAAUGAAUGAAUGUGUGAGUGAAUAAAACAUGUUUGUUAAACAUACAAAUAUAAAAAUCUAAAUCAGCAAAUAUAUUUCUUCAAUGAAGAUUUUAAUGAUUCUUCUUCCUUUACCAAAGGGAAGCUUGUACUAAACACUUUGGUUGAAAUGCUACUUAUCACAAAUGGCUCAUCAAUUGGAAUACAUGUUAUGGCUUUCCAAUCAUGUUGUUGGAUUAUUUCCUGAAAACCUAAAGGAGACAUUGGUUGGGCUGCCUUUAGCUGCCUUUCUCUAUAGUGAGUCACAUUUAGAUUUUAGUUGCUCUAACUAUGCAUAUAGUUCCUUCUGUUUUUCUUUAAAAAAAAAAAAAUACCCUGCCCUUUGUAUUAAAAAAACAAUAUGGGAUAGCCUAAUUUUGAGGAUGGUUAUUUAGUUACCUACUGUGUACAAAACUCUUCAUAACUUGUGAAAUUGACCUUGAAUCAGCAGUGUUACCCUGUCAUACAAAAUCUUUCAAUAAAUAUAAAAACACCAUUUUAUUUUAACUUUGAAAUUUGUGUGUCAGUAAAAUAAAACAGGAAUGUAUCUUAAAGCAGUAAUAGCAGACAUGUGGUGUUCCACUCUGAAGUCCUCAGAAAUCUGGCAAGGUGAAAACUGUGAACAUAGUUAUGAUCUCAUGAAGUUCGAAUAUAGUCCUAAUUUUUUUUGGAAAGAGAUUUAGUCAGCUGGAUUUCCAUGCUCUAAAUCUUACAUCAAUAAUUGCGACCUUCUGCCAUAAUUUAGCGAGUAUACUUCUGUGUCUCCAGACAUUCCCCAGCAAAGUCUGCUUUCAGACUCAGAGCAGAGCCUGGCAUCUGUGCGAGGCCCAAGUGCUGGCCUCAUGUACCAAAGUCAGUAGUGCUUCUGUAAGUUACUCAUGGGGGAAUAGGAACAACUGGAAAUGACUUAGAAAUACUGAAACUGUGUUCGGUCUUUUCCGACCUUCUUCACCUCUCCCGCCCCAUCCACUUCCCAAAAGCCCCAAAUUGUCUUCACCCACAUUCCUGUCGUUCAGACGUAAAAACUCAGCUGCUCCCUGAAAUAAUCAGGUAGUUUAGAACUGGUUCAUGAUACAGGUCUGGAUUAUCAAAAUUAAUCUUUAAAAAAAUAUCCAUCAUCCAAGGGAAUAAGAUCUGGUGACAGGUGCGGGCAGUCCAGCUCUGACUGUGCUCUUGCUCUUCGCAUGGUGAACCUCCCUGCUGCUGCUAUUCCUUCGGCAGCCAGACCUGCAACUGUGCCAGAUGCUGCCAACUCCUUUCUUCACGAGAUUGAUUUAAAAUAGAAAAAAUAGAACCCUCAGAACUUUGGAAACUGGAAUUACUGCAUUUAUUCAUCCUCCUUAAGAGGUGAAUGUUUUCACUCUGACAGUUUAAUUGACUGUUUAUAUUUGAUGUUUGAUUUUUUGGUAUCUAAUUAUAAUCAGUUUAUGGGCAAGUAAAACAUUAUAAAUAAUGACCCUAAUGUUUGGUUGAAAAUGUCUUGGAUUACAGUCAGAGUUUGAAACUACUCUUCUAGACGUAUGACUUGAUGAAGCUAUUAGAGCUGUGGCCUUUACAAAAUUUUUAACAAAACAGUGAAUCUCGUGUUACUGAUCUUUGUUAGGUAACUGGCUAAGUUUGUGGGAAACAACAUGACCCGUCACACAGAGCCUGAAGCCAGAGGGAGGAAAACCACAAGGAGGCUGAAAAAACAGCACAGAACCCAGAAACAGGGUGUAGAGGGGGCAGGAACCAACCAGCAUUGACUUGAAGGGAAGAUUAAAUUGGGAAGCAGAGCUUACACAGAGUCUAGAGAUGAGAGACAGCAAGCUGAAGUCUGCAUAAUGCAAAAUCUGGAAAUUAGGAACAGGUCAGAGGUCAAAAUCAGAUAGGAUUUUGAGAUCAGAGCCUGCACAAUGAACAAUACUUGAACUGUUCAAAUAACUCCUGCCUUCAGCAGGAAGUCCUUGCUCUUCUGAUUACUGCUAGACUGCUGCCUGCUGGAGGCUGAGACAAGUGCAGCUUGGUAGCUUAUCACACCUGGAGGGCCCAGAUUCAGGUAGAGUGCAGAAAAAGUCAGGGCCUGAGAAUGAGGAUGUUGAUUCAGACAGGUCACUAGUCAGGUGCUUUUCAUAUAGGGAAAGAAAGGAGGAGGUGAUACAUCUCUUAGUCCCUUUACAUUUUAGUGUUUCUGAAGCUUUUUUUUUUUUUUUUUUUUUUGGUCUUUUUUCUAGGGCUUCGCCCAGAGCACAUGGAAGUUCCCAGGCUAUAGGUCAAAUCAGAGCUGUAGCCGCCUGCCUAUACCACAGCCACAACAAUCUGGGAUCUGAGCGUCACCUGUGACCUACGCCACAGCUUGCAGUUACACCAGAUCUGUAAGCCACUGAGCGAGGUCGGGGAUCAAACCCAUAACCCCAUGGAAACUGGUUGGGUUCUUAACCUGCUGAGCCACAGUGGGAAUUCCUAAUCUAUCUUAGUUCAAAAUCUACAAAUUGAAAGAUAAGGGAAAAGACAGAAAGAGGAGAAAAGAAGGUCAGGCUCAACUUGAUUAUGGAAACAUUCAGGGGAUGGGUUAUUGGGGAACAGAAGCAUUUAAAAAACGGAAUUGAAGUUUUGAUUACUUGGCUUUUUCUCAUUAUCUGUCUCCUCCCUGCAAACGCCCCCACAAAAAGGUAAUUCCCACAGUUUAUUCUUACACAUAACAUUUAGAAGUUUAACACUGACAUUGAAAUUACUUCAUCAAUUUUUUUCUGAGAAUGACUCAAGAGAGUUCAGUUUCACAUCUCUUCUGAACUUCCAACAUUUACUCUGCAGCAUUUAUGUAGUGUUAAGAUCACACAACUUGUGUUGGUAUUUUGUGCAUUUUAUUUCCAGACAGGGUACAAAGCUUCAGAAGGCAGAAACUAUAUCUUUAGCUGUGGUGUGAAAUAAAAUAUACCAGACUUGGAACCAGAUGAACUGGGUUCUACAAACCAAGUUGUAUGGCCUUAACCAAAUCACUCGUCAACAGUGUUGCUACCCUGUAGACCUAGUUAGAUGAAUGGCCUUCAAGGACAUGGGGCAAGAUGAACUCAGAGCAUUCAAAGCCUAUGUUCCAUGAUUCUGCUUCAGUUACUAUGCCUGCCCUCUUACUUAUUUCCUUUGUUGGGCUUCUACAGACGAUUAACUUUCUUUUAAAAUCUUCCGGCUAUUAAAAGUUUUGAUUGAUAUGGCGUUGUCUCAUGUUGCUUCCAAACUUAAGAGUUUUAUGUCAUCUGCCAAACAUAGCUUUAGUGUCUUUCUUCGGACCUAGUUAGUAUCUCAUAAAUAUUUGUGGGGGGAGAAAAUGAAUGCUGUGACUCAAUCAUGCAAUGUUCAGAUGUUCACAAUUUCCAUAUGAAAAGUUUACUAUGGCUUAUAGUGAAUGACAUUUUUUACUUUGGAGGAGAACUCUUUUCAUCUCAGCUAGAAAUUCUUCUUGAACUUGAUCUCUGACUUAGGGAAAUAGAAGCAAACCUGAUGUGCACAUGCUUUGUGCAGAGAAUGAGCUGCUUUUAAGAGAAUAAUCCAACUGCUAUCUGAUCAGCCAUGUAGGACUGAUUCUGUGGAAAUGAAGAAGGCUUCCUUUUGCAGUGUGAGUCACACAUAUGAAGGCUUUGAUAAGAUUAAAAUAAUCCAAGGAAGCAAUUUCAAGAUGCACAGCUAGAAACAGGAACUAAGAAACAUCCAUGUCCCACAUGACACAGUCACUUAAUGUAAGAAUCAGGUUUUAAGGACCAUCUACAGAUAAUGUCAGAAUAUACAGAUAAAUACGGACAACUGUUGGUUGAGCUAGAAACACUGCUGGCUAAGUUAGAAAUCUUAUGAUGUGUAUCUUUGAAAUUGUCUCUUGCUGCUUUAUAUUCUUUUUUUAAAAAAAAGCCAGUUAUGCUGUCCCUCGGAAGUUGUGCUUUUGUGUGACUUUUGUCACUUUUGGUGCUCUCUUACCAAGCUUGUGGACCCAUUCCCAGUUCCUGUGAGUGUUAGUUGCUAAUGGCUCACAGCUCCCCUCUUCUCUUCAGAAUCACUUACAGCUUAAACUCAUUUGCAUUUCUCUGGGCUUUAUAUGCUCAUCUCCUGACUCUGUCCGCUUACAGGCAAUGACUGACUGACAGGGAGGUAGAAAAAUCCACUCUAUUUCAAGGUGAGGUCAACUCUGGGGUAGUUUAUGCUCCAGAGCUUAACCAUGGGAUCAGGCUGAAGUCAGACUCCAGCUGAGACCACACAGUCUUACCUUGCCUCUUUCCCUGCUUAGCCUGCAAUCCUUUCUUCUUUUCUCCUGAGAACAGUCCCUUCAGUCAUGUGCACCGAAUCUUUGUCUCAGGCUCUGUUUCUAGGGAGCCUAACCUAAGGCAGUGAUGCAUAGAUCUCCAGAGCAUAGCUCCUGUUAUGUCUUAUCUUUCAUCCUCAGUCUCCAGCAAAUCUGAAACAUGAUGCUCACAAGUAUUUUGAAGAGUGAGCAAAGUAAGAAACUGGACCUUCCGUUGACCAAGUCCUCACCAUGAAAUAUGGAUAACUGAAGUCAUGAGCAGUCUAGCACAAUUCUAACCUUACUUUGAAUUGGAAUUCUUAAUUCAUUAGAGAAUUAGGAAGUUUGCAGAACUGGGGAGCAGAAUUAAAACGGCAAAGUAGAAUCCAUCCUAACCUGCCAUUAGAAACCAUCAAAACGCCAUAUCAGUAGCAAAUGUUCUCACUUAUGGAAGUGCACAAGAAUAAUUAUUUAACAUAAUUAUGUCACACACCUACUCUCUGCCACAUUGGAAAAAAAAAAUAGAUGUCCCUCAUGCUCUCAAGGAAUUGUGAGUAGUGAGAGAGCCUAAGAGAUGAGCUAAUAAUUAUGAUAGAAUGUGCAGGGUAGAAAAUUGAAUGCUGUACAAAAUGACACAAGAUCAGCUGGUAGAAAGAGCCAGAGACCUUAUCUGAUAUAGGGACCAGUAUGAGCAAAGAAAUGCAGACACGAAAGUUAAUGGAAUGUUUGGGGAAGAAUAUGCAGAGAAAUUAGGCUUAAAGGAGUGUGGAUGCAGGGUAAUGGAAGGACCGUAAGACUCAGGAUUAAACUUAAUCUUGAGAAAAGAGGCCAGCUAUCAAUAGUUUAGGGUUUCAUUUUUUCCUUUGUUUAAAAAUUGUUAAAACAGGGAGUUCCCAUCGGGGCGCAGCAGAAACCAACCCAACUAGUAUCCCUGAGCAUUUGGGUUCAAUCCCUGGCCUUGCUCAGUGGGUUAGGAUCCAGCGUUGCCGUGAGCUGUGGUGUAGGUCGAAGAUGUGGCUUGGAUCCUGUGUUGCUGUGGCUGAGGCAUAGCCCAGCAGCGGUAGCUCUGACUUGACCCUUAGCCUGGCAACAUCCAUAUGCCAUGAGUGCGACCCUGAAAAGCAAAAAAUAAAAUAAAAAUUGUUAAACCAACAUAUUAAUAACAUGGAGUGUUUUGAAACAAUAUCCUAAAGCAACUUUUGUUAUUUUUUGUCUUUUUUCUUUUCUCUUAUCAAAUGCUUGCAUAUGUAUUUUCCAUCAUUGUAGCAAUUGUAAUUUCUGAUUAUUUGUACAUACUAUUAUAUCAUGAGCUUUUCCCACAUUACAUGACUUCAUCUUAAGUGGCUAAAUACUGUUGUAAAUACUGCAUUCACUUUAACUUGCAUUCCCAUUUUCACUUUCCCUGAAAGUCUUGCAGGAUACUAAACAAGACAGGGGUAGCAUCAUAUUUGGAUUUUCUACAUGAAAGCUGGAGAUAGAUGGAAAUAAGCAGAACUUGCCAUCAGAAAUUCAGUAAGGGACGCGCUGGGGAAGAGGUGAUACCACCCUCUGUGUCCUUAUCCUCAUCGGUAAAGGAUGAUACAAAUAACUGCCUCGCAAGCCUCAUGGGUGCUGGUGAAAAUUAAUUGAAAUAAUAUAUUUUCAAAAAUGGGCAUUUAUGAAGCUCUGAAGUCAUCAUUCAUUCAACAGAGAAAGUU
rnacentral:lncRNA from 1 species